rnacentral:RNase_P_RNA from 1 species
CGAGUUGACCGGACGGUCGCGGCAGCAGCCAGCUGUCGAGGAAAGUCCGGGCUCCACAGGGCAGGGUGGUCGGUAACACCGACCCGGGGUGACCCGCGGGAAAGUGCCACAGAGAACAGACCGCCAGCGUCCGCGCUGGUAAGGGUGAAACGGUGGAGUAAGAGCCCACCAGCGCCCGGGGUGACCCGGGCGGCUCGGCAAACCCCACCCGGAGCAAGGUCAAGAGGGAGCCCU